rnacentral:lncRNA from 1 species
AACUUCUCCAAGAACUUCUGUUCAGAAUCUAUACUGCAAAGGUUAUUGAGGAUCUGAAAUCCAGCCAGAGAGCAAGCUUUAUCCAGAAACCCCGACCGCUUCCCGCCAACAGAGAUGAGGACCGAGGCCGCAUAGACACCUUCGGUCUCGUCCGGUACAACAACAUUCCUGGGUUACAAAAUUUCUUCGUAUUCUUUUUAAUUAGAUCCAGAUUCCUUCAAACCCUGUCCGCCAGCCUCCCCCCCUCCGCCCCAAAACCCACCAACAAAAGUCUUUGUCAUUAAUCCUCUCGACACACGGCCCCGACCACAAGACCCAAGUAUUGGAAAUCAUUUGCUGGAAACUGGCUCCUGUCCAGCCUGAAGGGAAUGAAUGCUGACUCAUAGAAUGUCAGUCUGGCUGCGAUCAGGCCACUGUAGCUGCCGCCAGAAGUCUCUCAGGAACGGGGAGUCAGGAUGAAAGCAAAACACACACACACACAACACCGCCAUCGGUGCCAGUUUUGCUGAGAAGCUGCAGGGCCUGGAGGACGAAAGAUGAAGCUCUCCAAGCUCAGCUCUGAGCGGAGGGGAGGCUUCACAUCAAAGCUAGAAGCGGCGUCGCUUAGGCUUGUGUGAAGGACAAGUUCCUACUAGUGGACUAAGCGGAUUCCAAGAGGAAGUGUAACAAAUAUUGUGAGCCAAGAAACGGGUUGCAAAACAUCAGCCUAGCUCUGUUUGAUUAGAGAUCUAGCUGGCCCGAAAGAGAUCAAGGUGGAAAACUGGCAGGGCUGGGUGGCCACGUUUAGUAAAGAAGUCCUGCAUUUGAAGGGUGCCAGGAGAUGAUCCUCCUUAGGCAGGUGACCUCUUCAACUGGAAGGCCCAUCCAGACCAAGCCUGCUUUAAAGAUUAAAAACAAGAAGAGGGAAAUCGGGGACCCUGAAGAUGUAGCUUGCAUGCGAUGAGCAGAUGCCUGUCAUUUACCACACUGGUUCUUAACCUUGGGUUACUCAGGAGUUUUGAACUGCAACUCCCAGAAGCCUUCACCACCAACUGUGCUGGCUGGGGUUCCU